rnacentral:rRNA from 1 species
AUUGAACGCUGGCGGCAGGCCUAACACAUGCAAGUCGAGCGGAUGAAGGGAGCUUGCUCCUGGAUUCAGCGGCGGACGGGUGAGUAAUGCCUAGGAAUCUGCCUGGUAGUGGGGGAUAACGUCCGGAAACGGGCGCUAAUACCGCAUACGUCCUGAGGGAGAAAGUGGGGGAUCUUCGGACCUCACGCUAUCAGAUGAGCCUAGUUCGGAUUAGCUAGUUGGUGGGGUAAAGGCCUACCAAGGCGACGAUCCGUAACUGGUCUGAGAGGAUGAUCAGUCACACUGGAACUGAGACACGGUCCAGACUCCUACGGGAGGCAGCAGUGGGGAAUAUUGGACAAUGGGCGAAAGCCUGAUCCAGCCAUGCCGCGUGUGUGAAGAAGGUCUUCGGAUUGUAAAGCACUUUAAGUUGGGAGGAAGGGCAGUAAGUUAAUACCUUGCUGUUUUGACGUCACCAACAGAAUAAGCACCGGCUAACUUCGUG